rnacentral:lncRNA from 1 species
GAACCAGUCCCUUAACCUUUAGAGCAGUUCUUCCAGGUGAUUAUUCUUGACUGCUCUGUGAACUGAAGACAAGGACGAGAUUCAGAGAAACAGAGAGGUUGCAUCCAUUUCUCAGGGCCCAGACGGUGACACUAAGGAUGAAGACCUAGCUCUGUUAUCCUUCAGGCUUUAUACCCUUCCUGUACUGGUUCCAAUCCAUAGCAAGAAACCACCCUUGAACAGUAAAUAACACGAUCUUGGGGUUCAUGGUGUGUUCAGAUAUCCCGCAACAGCAAGUCAUUCAGACGAUCAGUGCUGCUCUCUUAGCAGGGGACACUCCUCAAGCAGGACUGGAUUAAUCCAUGGGAGCGAGCAGCUGAGCCGUGAGAAGCCAGAAAGCCUGAUGUGGUCCACCCCUUUCCCUGGAAUCACUCCUUUCCAUGUGGGCUGAAUGCCCACGUGCAGCUGUCUGAUCUCAGGAUUUCUAUCAUCCAGAGUAUUCUCUGGAAGCUCCAGCGGGGUUGGCCCAGCUCCUGGCUUCCUCUCCUGGCAACAGCCUCAGGUCUUUUUGAUGAAUUGAAUGAGAAGUGGAGCCCUCAGGUCCAGUCCUGAUCCUGCAGCAGGUGCUUGCUCAUGAAGCUUACACAGAACUCAUGUGACCACGAAGCCAAGGUGGCCGAGAGAAGGCAGCUUCCUGGAAUCUCAGCCUUCCACCAGGCCAGGAGCCAGUCUGCUGCUUCUGUCUGCCUGUACCAAGCAUCUCCCUCAGAGGGAGGAGCCAUGGCCCCAGAAGAUGCUAAGCACUAAAGGAGGCCAUAUGCUUCUACCUUACCAGGUUUUCCGAUGCCCGUGGAGGUCAGAAGAGGGUACCGGACCAAUGGAAUUCAGGUGGCUGUGGUGAGCGCUGUGGGUUGUGAGAACUGAACCUGGGUCCUCUGUAAGAAGGACAAGAGCUCAUGACUGCUUAUCUUCUCUCUGGCCCCUCAUUUUACCUUCACGGGGUCUUGCGUGGCCCAGCCUCACCUCUGAGCUGCUGCUCAGAGAAGGUGGUGGAGAGACUUCAAAGAAUGAAACAAGAUGGCGUGACCCCGGGCCCUUUGAAACUGAGCCAGACCUGGAAUCCAGCCCCUGCCUGCUUUCUUCUGCACUGAAGAAUAAGGACCUUCUAAGCCUUGUGUAUCCGCUCUUCCUUAGCCUGGGAUCGGGGGUUCAAGACCAUUCUCGCCCACUACACAGCAUGUGUGGAGCUGGGCUGGUCACGUGAGAACCCUGCCUUAAUUAAUUAAUUAAUUAAUUAAUGAGUUUUGGAAACUUUCUCUUGGCCUUCCAUGUGUUUUGGUAUCAGGUUUCACCUGGUAUUAUUUGUUAGUGAGAGUUUCACAUCUAAUUGCUGUCCCACCCCCAGGGCUGGGUAUGGGACUCCUGCAUCCAUCCACAGCUACCUAGCUCCUCUUUGCCCUGUGACCUGCACCACUCUCUUCAUAGCAGCUACCACAACUGGAAACACGUACCUUACCUUCACGGAUGUUCUUGCCC